rnacentral:rRNA from 1 species
ACUAUAACGGUCCUAAGGUAGCGAAAUUCCUUGUCGGGUAAGUUCCGACCUGCACGAAUGGCAUAAUGAUGGCAGCGCUGUCUCCAGCAGAGACUCAGUGAAAUCGAAAUCGCAGUGAAGAUGCUGUGUACCCGCGGCUAGACGGAAAGACCCCGUGAACCUUUACUACAGCUUUACAUUGAACUUUGACCUAACUUGUGUAGGAUAGGUGGGAGGCUUUGAAGCAGAUACGCCAGUAUUUGUGGAGCCAACCUUGAAAUACCACCCUGGUUAUGUUGGGGUUCUAACUUAGGAUUAACAAAUCCAAGGACAAUGUAUGGUGGGUAGUUUGACUGGGGCGGUCUCCUCCUAAAGAGUAACGGAGGAGUACGAAGGUGCGCUCAGAACGGUCGGAAAUCGUUCAAAGAGUAUAAAGGCAAAAGCGCGCUUAACUGCGAGACCCACAAGUCGAGCAGGUACGAAAGUAGGUCUUAGUGAUCCGGUGGUUCUGUAUGGAAGGGCCAUCGCUCAACGGAUAAAAGGUACUCUGGGGAUAACAGGCUGAUACCGCCCAAGAGUUCAUAUCGACGGCGGUGUUUGGCACCUCGAUGUCGGCUCAUCUCAUCCUGGGGCUGAAGCAGGUCCCAAGGGUAUGGCUGUUCGCCAUUUAAAGAGGUACGCGAGCUGGGUUUAGAACGUCGUGAGACAGUUCGGUCCCUAUCUACCGUGGGCGUUGGAAAUUUGAGAGGAUCUGCUCCUAGUACGAGAGGACCAGAGUGGACGAACCUCUGGUGUUUCGGUUGUCACGCCAGUGGCAUUGCCGAGUAGCUACGUUCGGAUGGGAUAACCGCUGAAAGCAUCUAAGCGGGAAGCCCACCUCAAGAUAAGAUUUCCCUAAGAGCCGUUGUAGACUACGACGUUGAUAGGUUGGGUGUGGAAGUGUAGUGAUACAUGUAGCUAACCAAUACUAAUUGCUCGUUUGGCUUGACCAU